UGCCAGCAGCCGGGUAAUACGGAGGGUGCGAGCGUUAUCCGGAAUCACUGGGCGUAAAGGGCACGUAGGCGGUCUUGUAAGUCCGAUGUUAAAGAGUGGGGCUCAACCCCAUCACGGCGUUGGAUACUGUAAGGCUUGACGACUGGAGAGGAAAGUAGAAUUACCAGUGUAGCGGUGAAAUGCGUAGAUACUGGUAGGAAUACCCAUUGCGAAGGCAGCUUUCUGGACAGUUUGUGACGCUGAGGUGCGAAAGUGUGGGGAGCAAACCGGAUUAGAUA
rnacentral:rRNA from 1 species